rfam:Pantoea stewartii subsp. stewartii DC283 WGS_Sequence24, whole genome shotgun sequence.
GGCAAAAUAGGGUGGCCUCCGUCAUGGGGGCCACUGCACACCAAACAGAAUGUGUUGGAUUCUCAGCCCUGUUUGGUAUGCAGAGUGACAGACGCAAAACAGAACUGGAAUCGCAUGAACCCCAUCCUGAUUAACAAGCUUCAGCGCAAACUGGGCUACACUUUUACAC